AGUGAACGCUGGCGGUAGGCCUAACACAUGCAAGUCGGACGGCAGCACAGGAGAGCUUGCUCUCUGGGUGGCGAGUGGCGGACGGGUGAGGAAUACAUCGGAAUCUGCCCAGUCGUGGGGGAUAACGUAGGGAAACUUACGCUAAUACCGCAUACGACCUUCGGGUGAAAGAGGGGGAUCGCAAGACCUCUCGCGAUUGGAUGAGCCGAUGUCGGAUUAGCUAGUUGGCGGGGUAAUGGCCCACCAAGGCGACGAUCCGUAGCUGGUCUGAGAGGAUGAUCAGCCACACUGGAACUGAGACACGGUCCAGACUCCUACGGGAGGCAGCAGUGGGGAAUAUUGGACAAUGGGCGCAAGCCUGAUCCAGCCAUACCGCGUGGGUGAAGAAGGCCUUCGGGUUGUAAAGCCCUUUUGUUGGGAAAGAAAUCUUUCAGGCUAAUACCCUGGGAGGAUGACGGUACCCAAAGAAUAAGCACCGGCUAACUUCGUG
rnacentral:rRNA from 1 species